rfam:Gossypium arboreum cultivar AKA8401 contig_2928_1, whole genome shotgun sequence.
GGCUGGAUGGCAGAAUGGUUAUGCAGCGGAUUGCAAAUCCGUUAAAAUCGGUUCAAUUCCGAUUCCAGCCU